AACGAACGCUGGCGGCAGGCUUAACACAUGCAAGUCGAACGAGAAGCUUACUUCGGUGAGUGGACAGUGGCAGACGGGUGAGUAACGCGUGGCAACCUACCUUUUUCUACGGAACAACAGUUGGAAACGACUGCUAAUACCGUAUACGCCCUCCGGGGGAAAGAUUUAUCGGUGAAAGAUGGGGCCGCGUUAGAUUAGCUAGUUGGUGAGGUAAUGGCUCACCAAGGCGACGAUCUAUAGCUGGUCUGAGAGGAUGAUCAGCCACACUGGGACUGAGACACGGCCCAG
rnacentral:rRNA from 1 species